AUUGCAUUUUGAAAUAGCUGAGUUAUAUUUUCGUUUGCGUUAUCUGAUGAGCAAUAACUUUCGCCCCUAGCUGAAAAAUGAAACUUCUCAUGUUGAAUGCGAGAUUGGUCUUACUGAAACAUAACGCAACCGAACAUAUCUGAGUUAUUCGAGACUUUUCGUCUUCAUUAUUCGACUUAAAUAUUAAUUCAAAUUUUGUUUUUAUAGCUUGGGGAACACCCGAAAGGAAGAAAUGCUUUUAAAAGUGCACAAAAGUUUGAUUGAACGGCAAACAAACAAGUUAUAUCCUUGGGCGAGGAUACUACAUAAAAUAUUGUUUGACCAAAUGAUUCAAAAAAGAACGACGGGAAUUUAAAACGAAAAGAUUAUUACAUGAUUUGUUGGCUGAGGAUUCCUAAUCCUAUUCAGAAGUACGCAAGCACGCUAUUAUUAAACCAAGUUUCUGAUGUCAUCCCGAUGUCAUACAGCACUCUUAAUUGAUGUUCUAUAAAAACAAUUAUAUUUCUAGGUAUAGUACUGCCCAAAACACUCCAUUCUAAUUUUAAAUCAACUGAAGCGAAAAUAAAAGAAAACAAAUAACAA